CCUACGGGCGGCUGCAGUGGGGAAUAUUGGACAAUGGGCGCAAGCCUGAUCCAGCAAUGCCGCGUGUGUGAAGAAGGCCUGCGGGUUGUAAAGCACUUUAAGCAGGAAAGAAGGGGUGAAAGUUAAUACCUUUCAUCAUUGACGUUACCUGCAGAAUAAGCACCGGCUAACUCCGUGCCAGCAGCCGCGGUAAUACGGAGGGUGCGAGCUUUGAUCGGAGCGCCCGGGCGUGGUGUGCGCAGUCCGGGUUGAAAGCCCUGGGCUUAACCUGGGAACUGCGGUGGAUACUGUCGGGCUAGAGUGUGGUAGAGGGGAGUGGAAUUUCCGGUGUAGCAGUGAAAUGCGUAGAGAUCGGAAGGAACACCAGUGGCGAAGGCGGCUCCCUGGACUAACACUGACGCUGAGGUGCGAAAGCGUGGGGAGCAAACAGGAUUAGAUACCCGAGUAGUC
rnacentral:rRNA from 1 species